CACGUAGGGCGCAAGCGUUGUCCGGAAUUAUUGGGCGUAAAGAGCUCGUAGGCGGUCUGUUGCGUCCGCUGUGAAAACUCGGGGCUUAACCCCGAGCCUGCAGUGGAUACGGGCAGACUAGAGGUAGGUAGGGGAGUCUGGAAUUCCUGGUGUAGCGGUGAAAUGCGCAGAUAUCAGGAGGAACACCGGUGGCGAAGGCGGGACUCUGGGCCGAUACUGACGCUGAGGAGCGAAAGCGUGGGGAGCGAACAGG
rnacentral:rRNA from 1 species